AUCCCCAGAAAUGGGCAAAGAAUCACCUUGUUGGUGAUGUUGUUCUUAUAUCAGUCAGGGGCAGAGCAGAUGGCAGUCCAUUGUUCAUCCUAGCUUGGUGCCUGGCUUGGUGGCCAAAGCUGUUUUUUUUUUUUGCCAGGAAA
rnacentral:snoRNA from 1 species